UUUGCCUGAACUCCCCCUGAAGAAAGAGGCCACUUCAGAAUCUUGAUGUACCUCAUGGUGGAGGCUGCUCCGGAAGAUAUUUAGCAAACCAAAGCAAUGUGCUCCAAACAGAGAUGGGGAAAAUGAGGACAGACAGGUGAAGUGCCUUGAACAAGAUCACAGAACCGAGUCUGUCUCGACCUGGGGUGGUAUCGGCUCUUGACUUCCACACUCUGCGGGCGCGCGGACAUUCGUCAGGUCUCGUGGGGGUACUCAUGAGCCGUGUUCCUGAGAACGGACUGCAACAAAGCCCCCUGCAGGCCAAGGUGACACAUUCUUGGAGCACUUUUCCUCAUGGAACCUCACCCGUAACAAGCAAGUUUCAAAGCAAGGGCCAACGAUAAAUGACGGGCUUCCCCCACGUUCUUAUAGAAAAUGAUUGGCCUGGACUGUAUGCUGCAUUUCCUUUCCAGACCCUUCUCUGAGGCCUUUACUUUCAUG